rnacentral:rRNA from 1 species
GAUGAACGCUGGCGGCGUGCCUAAUACAUGCAAGUCGAGCGAACAGACGAGGAGCUUGCUCCUCUGACGUUAGCGGCGGACGGGUGAGUAACACGUGGAUAACCUACCUAUAAGACUGGGAUAAAUUCGGGAAACCGGAGCUAAUAACGGCUAAUAUAUUCAACCGCAUGGUUCAAUAGUGAAAGACGGUUUUGCUGUCACUUAUAGAUGGAUCCGCGCCGCAUUAGCUAGUUGGUAAGGUAACGGCUUACCAAGGCAACGAUGCGUAGCCGACCUGAGAGGGUGAUCGGCCACACUGGAACUGAGACACGGUCCAGACUCCUACGGGAGGCAGCAGUAGGGAAUCUUCCGCAAUGGGCGAAAGCCUGACGGAGCAACGCCGCGUGUGUGAUGAAGGUCUUCGGAUCGUAAAACUCUGUUAUUAGGGAAGAACAAAUGUGUAAGUAACUAUGCACGUCUUGACGGUACCUAAUCAGAAAGCAACGGCUAACUACGUG